AGGAGCCGGCCGCUGUGCCCGCUGCUGGGAAUGUGGGACGGGACCGCGCUCCGGAGGAGCCUGGCAGGGUCGCAGAAAACGAAGCGUGCAACUCACCUGUGACCCCAACGGCCUUGCCGGGAAGUCCCGUCCACGGCAACGCCGGUGUGGGGCGUGGAUGGCAGCCUCGUUCAGGACGGGCCCAGGCGACCCGGGCGUCCGUCAAGGAGCUGCCGCAGCAGACUGUGGCCACUUCCCGGAAUAGCUCUCCGCCGUGAAAACACGGGAAUUAGUGAGCUGAGCGGCACCCUGCAGGAACCUCCCGAGAAUGACGCUCCGUGGGGAAAAAAUGCCAGUCCCAGAAGCUUACGUACUAAGUAAUUCCACGUAUAUGACUCUUUAGAAACGACAAAGGUGUACAGGGGACAGCAGAGUGGUUGCUGGGGGCUGCAGCGGGGAGUUGAGGAUGCGCGCGGUGAUGGCGAUGUCCUGCAUCCUGGCCACCCCAGGGCCGAUAUCCCGACUGGGAGGUUGUGCUGCGGUGUCACAAGGUACCGCUGGAAGGACUGGGUGAUUUGUGCAUGGGAUCUCUCUGCCUUAGUUCUUAUAAUUGCAUGUGAAUCUACGAUUAUCUCAAAAUAGAACGUCUAAUUUGAAAAAGAGGAAGAGAAAAACAUCGAAUGUCUGCAAAAUAUUCAAUUAUAGGAGACCUUAUCUAUUACCUACCCUGGACAUUUAUGUUGUUUCUUAUUUUUCAUACUCUAGAUGAUGCUCCAAAGCUCUUUAGCUGUUGUGUUUUUUAAUUUUUAUUUAUUCAUUCCUGAGAGACACAGAGACAGGUAGAGACACAGGCAGAGGGAGAAGGAGGCUCCCUGUGGGGAGCCCGAUGGGGGACUCGAUUCUAGAACUCUGGGGUCACGCCCUGUGAGUCAAGGCAGACGCUCCACAGUUGAGCCACCCAGGCGUCCCUCGGGUUUCCUUUCAUAUUUUGCCAAAGUGCUUUUCCAAGAGUUUGUGCCAAAUUACACUCGUCAACACAGUAGCGUAUCUGCCCUACGGCACCGCCAUCAGGCUUGCAGUGCCCACCUGGUUUCCAACCUUUGCUAAUUUUGCAGCUUAAAAAUAGUACCUCAUUGCCUCUAUUUUCUCUUUUGUAUUACUGAGGGUGAACGUUUUUAAUGUUUAUAAAUCAUUUAUAUUUUAUGAUUAGUCUAUUCAUCAAGACCAAGGGAUUCCUCUGACCCUUCAUGCAUGAAGCAAUGGGCACAGGAAGCAUUACGAGCUGGUUAAAAAUUGAUUGUAAUUUCUCAAAAGUUACAGCACAACUGACAGCCAGCUUUGGGUGUUAGGGGAAUCCUGAGCUGAAACAGGACCAAGAAGUGGGGGAGGAUGAGCAGACGUAGCCGGAGCGAGGCCAGAAGUACAGACCAGACAAGACAUGGUUUAGGCCCCGGGUGAAGUCAUGCUACUGCUGAACAAUACUGGGGGGAGGGGUGGGGAGGGGCGGGUCAAGAGUAAAGAGCUGUACGAAGCCUUUCAUGGUGGAGAAAAAGGAGCAGGGAGGCCAGUAGAUACACAACAAUUAGGUAAGAAUCAAAUGGCAUAAAAAUACAAAUGACAGAAACCUAGAGAGAUAGCCUGGAGCACAAUUUUAAUCCCAGAAACAAGGUCCGAUUGUUUUAACAGAGUCCUAAUCUUUUAAAACAAAUCCGGGGCUAGGGUUGUCUGAGGAUGUGUAUGACUGUGUAUAUAAAUCGAGGAAUGGGAAAGGUCAGGUUCCAAGUGUGCAGAUGCCUGAAGACAUGUGAAAGCAGAAAAUUAUUAGUACUGCUUGUACUGGGGCUGCAGACGGGGGGACCCUCCUGUGACUGCAUGUGGACAGCCACAUCCAAAUCACCCCUGCAAGGAAAGAACACAGGUCCACGCUGCAGAAUGUGUGUUGCAGAGAAGCGAAGGGAACUCUACGUCCAGUCUUCUGCCCUGAGCAAGCAUCUCUCCUGAAGCCUUAGACAAACCUCUGAGGGAAACCGAGUCUCUCCUUGGGUGCUGCCCUUGCUAGGAAGUGAUUUCACUAUUUCUACACUGAAAUUGCCAGAAGACUCUGUGUUUGAACUGACUCACUGUUUUCCUCUUUCUGAUCCUCACUGCACGUUCUACUUCUCCCCCUGGAGCCUCACAACACGAUGACGACAACAGUGUGUAUUUAACGCACUCCAGCUACUGGAUGCUGCACACGGUAUGCGCGUUAUUUGCUUCAGUUCUGACAACAGCUUAAAAAUAGGUGCUUCGUAAUGACCUUGCCUUACAGGUAAAGAGAUGGAAGCAGACAUGCUCAGUCCCCGGAGUGUCCGGGACAGCCAGUGUUUGAACCACGCCCUGUCUUCUCUGGCUUCUCUCUCUCAAGCAUUUCAGUAGGUUCUAAGCUGCCUUGGAAGUCCAAGCCUGUGCCCUUGUGAGAGUCCUGAGGUCCCGGGAGCCAGCUCUUCCUUCACAGUUAUACACGUCUGCCACGGACCUGUCGUCACAUCUGCCUCUAAAGACUUCUCUAUGAAAAAUGUGGUCGGAUUACGUAAAAGGACAAAGAGCUGGCAUUUCAGGUCGUAUGAACCAUUGGUAGUGACUCUGUGGGGAGGUAGGUAAUGUCACCCACCUUUAAACAGUGCCUACCCACCAUUAUCCACAAAACAAACGUACUAAGAAAAACCUCAUAAUUCAGUGAAUGAUGGAACUGGUGUAGGAUGUCAGCAAGUCAGUAACAAAGCAGGAAUUUGUUCUACUUCCUUGCCUGGGAGUUCUGCAAGAUCUCCUCAGCCUGUAGUACUGAGAAGGAUCAGAUGUAGACAGCAGUGGGCUCUCAACAUCCAAUGUCCCCAAGAAAUGCUUCUAUGCGACUGUCGUCACAAUGAGGAAAAGAAAGUUGAUCUCGGGGCCUGAACGAUGCUGCAUUUUGACAUCUGUAUUAACCUCGGAAUUGUGUCCCUACCAAAUUCAUGUGUUGAGGCCUUAGCACUCAGGCACCGCAGCAGAAUGUGAGUAUGUUUGGAGAGAGGCCUUAAGGAGGGAUCAUGGGGUCGUGGGGGCGGCCCUGAUUCACCAGGACUGGAGUCCUUACAAGAAGAGCCAGAGACACCCAUGAUGCUGAUGCAUGACAAAGGCCCGGUGAGAACACAGGGAGAAGGCAGGCCCCUGCACGCCGAGGACAGAGGCCUCAUGGGAAACCAGGCCUGCCCACACCUUGAUUCCAGGACUCUGGCGUCCACCCGAUCUGUAGUGUUGUGUUACGGCAGCCUCAGCCAACUAACGGAACCCCAGUGUCGGCAAACUCUCCAGCUCUUUGGGUAAUCCUUCCUGUCGAUUCAGAAUACACCUAAACACACACACACAUACCUCAGUAGUCAGGAAUCCCAUUCCCUGUGAUGUGGACAUCUGGUAUUACCACAUUCAUACCCACCCUAGCGCUCCCACUAAAUUUUCAAGAAUUUACUUAGGAACGUUUUCAUGUUCCGUUAAAUGACUUGGUGACCCCUGUACUCCUCAGCCAGCCUUCUUGUUCUGAAUGACGUUCCUUCUUCACUAGCCAUUCAUCUUCUACCAUCUUAUAACUUGCUUCCUCCCUAAGUAGGAACCCUGGAUUCUCCCACAUGGACUCUGGCAAUUCCUCCAAGUAUGAGCUGAGACUACAUAGCAACAUUUAACAAAAGAUUAUUGAGGUAUAGGCUGGUAGCAAUAAUCAUGCAAAAAAACCCCAAAGAUUAGAAACCAGUUUCUAGAUAGGAGUCUACUAGCAUCUCCUAGGGGCUUCCACCGGGCUCUUGCAUCGGCCACCUUGGUCCAGCGCUGCCUACACGCUGCCGUGAAGGGACCAUCUUACCGCUGUGCACAACAGGACUGACCCUACUCUCCAUUAGCCAGAACUAAGGCUUCCAAUAUCCUCUCCUUCCUAGGAGAAGGGAAUUGCCGUGAAGGAAAGACCAAGGCAUGAUCGAUAAUCUGUCCUGGAUGGCUAGCAGAGGGACACCCUCUGUCCUCCAGAGGACAUCCCCGCACUCCCUGACAGGGUGGGGGCUCACCCACAAGAAGGCAACCCCACAGCCCUGGGUUUCAUUUUUCAAAAUCUGGCACAUUGUUGUGUGACUAAAGGGAGUAAGUUUCACAGAAGAUGGUUGACUAAAUUAAUCAACUACAAGUUUCUAAAAAUCACAAGAUGGCUUUGGCAUGCAAGAGGCUCCAUUCCUUGAUUUGGAAGACGGCAAAAGAACCAAGCAUCUGGUCACUGCUCUCUCCCAGAGAUUUUUCUUCAUGGUGGUUGACAGUUGUGAACCGAUAAAAAAAAAACCACUUUUCCACACAGAAGAGGAACAUUUAGGGAUAAGGAGAGACAUUACUCAGGAGUUUCAUGCUUUUCUGAUACUCCUCCUUCCCAACUAUGACCGUCUAACACCCCUGCUAUGGUGAUGACAACCAAACAGAUUUCCUGAGCCAGGCUGGCAAGGGCCCUGCACCUGUAAAACCAGCAACAGUAACAACACAGACACCACCCAUCUGGGUGUUGAAAUGUGAGAGGCGCUAAGGUUCAACCCCGAGGAUCUUCAUCACCACCUCUCUAUAGUCGCUGAUUCUCGGGACAUGCUUUCGUCUAAGAGAACACGAUGCUAAUGACACUUUAUUUCAUUCUCAGCCAAGACUGCCCCCACAGGAGUCUCGGUGGAGCAUGGACUCUGUGGUCGGACAGCAUGUCCAGUGGGGUCCCCGCACUGCCGUUACUGCUCCGUGACCUCGGAAAAGCUACUUCACCUCUAUACACCUCAUUCUCUCGUCCAUAAUAUGGGGCUGAUACUACGAGUGACCCCAGAGGAUUUUUGCGAGAAGUCAGCAAGAAAACCCAUGUAGGGGGCUUAACGUAUAAUAAAGCACUUGAUCAAUGUCCUCUUUUAUUAAAAAUGUAGAAAGGGCCCCUUUCUAGAACACCACUAAUGAUGUAUGGGAGUAGAACACGAAGGUCCUAACGCCCGUAUAAGCCCCUCUGAGGGCUCCGUGAGGCAGGGGACGCUGUGGUGGCGUGCCAUCAGGUGCCCACGGCGGUGGAGGCGCGGCCCGACCCGAGAGUGUGGCCCUUCCUGCGGGGCCGCAUCCUGCACACCAAGAACAGCAACUGUCCUCGCGUCUGAACAUGACCUUCAGGCUUCCUGGGGGGCAGCAAGGCUCGAAGGUUUAGACCAAUUCAGAUUGUUCUUGUUUUAACUCUGCAAAGAGCACUACCAUCAUCACCAGGAGAAAGACCACGAGGCCUCCCAUUGCCGACGUGGAGCGGGCUGGUGGGGCAGCGGUGGGGUGGGGCGGCCCCUGCAGGGCCCUAUGUGUGUGACACAGGCCACCCUAAGCAAGUCCCCACGCAGCCCCGCAGGCGGAGCUCCGCAGGCACCAGGGACCCGGUGUCUCUGAAGGGGGUUAAGGGCGGGCCGGAGACCGGGCCCAAGGACGAAGACUGCGCAUCUUUUUUCCCUUCCACUGGACGAGAGCGGCCUGUGGUGUUGCUCCUACUGUGCUUUGGAAAGUUCUGGGUUCCUCGGUGGCUGAUGCCUAUUUGCACGGAAGGCAUGGCGGAUGGCUGUAGGCUCUUGAGUGUUCCCUCUGGCGCCUCCGAGUGACCGACCGCAGAGCACCGCGGUCUCCGAAGGUCGGGUUCCUACUUCCCCGCGGGGUCGGUCCGCCUCUGGGGGACACCUGGCGGCGGGACCUUCCCUAGCGGGAAGGGGCCCACGGCUUCACCCCAGCUUAGAGAGAUGGCUGGACGAGGCCUCGUGCCUGGCCACCCGCACCCCGAGCCGCACCCCCGCGGUCGUGCCAGCCUCGAGGGCUGGGGUCCCAGGCAGGUGCCCGCCCAGGCCGCGGCCCCCUGAAGAGCGUCCCCAACACCUCGGGCGCCACCGGGCCACUGCUCCCCGACCCUGUCCACGAAGGGAGACUUGGAGGUCCCCGCGGCCUGGGCGACCCACGACGCAGUUGGUGGGGCCACCACACAUCCGAAAUUGUGCUGCGCCAGAGGCGCCAGCCGG